rnacentral:rRNA from 1 species
AGCGGCGGACGGGUGAGUAACGCGUGGGUAACCUGCCCUAUACACACGGAUAACAUACCGAAAGGUAUGCUAAUACGAGAUAAUAUAAGAGAUUCGCAUGGAUUUCUUAUCAAAGCUGAGGCGGUAUAGGAUGGACCCGCGUCUGAUUAGCUAGUUGGUAAGGUAACGGCUUACCAAGGCGACGAUCAGUAGCCGACCUGAGAGGGUGAUCGGCCACAUUGGAACUGAGACACGGUCCAAACUCCUACGGGAGGCAGCAGUGGGGAAUAUUGCACAAUGGGCGAAAGCCUGAUGCAGCAACGCCGCGUGAGUGAUGAAGGCCUUCGGGUCGUAAAACUCUGUCCUCAAGGAAGAUAAUGACGGUACUUGAGGAGGAAGCCCCGGCUAACUACGUGCCAGCAGCCGCGGUAAUACGUAGGGGGCUAGCGUUAUCCGGAUUUACUGGGCGUAAAGGGUGCGUAGGUGGUCUCUUAAGUCAGGAGUGAAAGGCUACGGCUUAACCGUAGUAAGCUCUUGAAACUGGGAGACUUGAGUGCAGGAGAGGAAAGUGGAAUUCCUAGUGUAGCGGUGAAAUGCGUAGAUAUUAGGAGGAACACCAGUAGCGAAGGCGGCUUUCUGGACUGUAACUGACACUGAGGCACGAAAGCGUGGGGAGCAAACAGGAUUAGAUACCCUGGUAGUCCACGCCGUAAACGAUGAGUACUAGGUGU